rnacentral:tRNA from 1 species
GGCACUAUAGUGUAGCGGUUAUCACUUGGGAUUCUGAUUAUCCAGUUGGUUCCCAAAACCCAGGUUCGAUUCCUGGUAGUGCCU